rnacentral:misc_RNA from 1 species
AACUCGCGGAGGUGGCGAAAGCCAUCGGUCCCGGCAAGCCGAUCAAGCUGGUCUGGACCCGCGAAGACGAUAUGCGCGGCGGAUAUUAUCGUCCGUUCAGCGUGCAUCGCAUGCGCGGCGUGGUGCGCGAUGGGAAGAUCCAGGCAUGGAGCGACACCAUCGUCGGCCAGUCCAUUAUGAAGGGAUCGCCGUUCGAGGCGAUGACCUUCAAGGAUGGCCUCGACUCGACGGCCUAUGAA